rnacentral:rRNA from 1 species
GAAAGGCCAAUCAAACUUCGUGAUAGCUGGUUCUCUCCGAAAUAUAUUUAGGUAUAGCGUUGUGUCGUAAUAUAAGGGGGUAGAGCACUGAAUGGGCUAGGGCAUACACCAAUGUACCAAACCCUAUCAAACUCCGAAUACCUUAUAUGUAAUCACAGCAGUCAGGCGGCGAGUGAUAAAAUCCGUCGUCAAGAGGGAAACAACCCAGACUACCAGCUAAGGUCCCUAAGUCUUACUUAAGUGGAAAACGAUGUGAAGUUACUUAAACAACCAGGAGGUUGGCUUAGAAGCAGCCAUCCUUUAAAGAAAGCGUAAUAGCUCACUGGUCUAGUGAUUUUGCGCGGAAAAUAUAACGGGGCUAAAGUAAGUACCGAAGCUGUAGACUUAGUUUACUAAGUGGUAGGAGAGCGUUCUAUUUGCGUCGAAGGUAUACCGGUAAGGAGUGCUGGAGCGAAUAGAAGUGAGCAUGCAGGCAUGAGUAGCGAUAAUUAAUGUGAGAAUCAUUAACGCCGUAAACCCAAGGUUUCCUACGCGAUGCUCGUCAUCGUAGGGUUAGUCGGGUCCUAAGUCGAGUCCGAAAGGGGUAGACGAUGGCAAAUUGGUUAAUAUUCCAAUACCAACAUUAGUGUGCGAUGGAAGGACGCUUAGGGCUAAGGGGGCUAGCGGAUGGAAGUGCUAGUCUAAGGUCGUAGGAGGUUAUACAGGCAAAUCCGUAUAACAAUACUCCGAGAACUGAAAGGCUUUUUGAAGUCUUCGGAUGGAUAGAAGAACCCCUGAUGCCGUCGAGCCAAGAAAAGUUUCUAAGUUUAGCUAAUGUUGCCCGUACCGUAAACCGACACAGGUGGGUGGGAUGAGUAUUCUAAGGCGCGUGGAAGAACUCUCUUUAAGGAACUCUGCAAAAUAGCACCGUAUCUUCGGUAUAAGGUGUGGUUAGCUUUGUAUUAGGAUUUACUCCGAAAGCAAGGAAACUUACAACAAAGAGUCCCUCCCGACUGUUUACCAAAAACACAGCACUCUGCUAACUCGUAAGAGGAUGUAUAGGGUGUGACGCCUGCCCGGUGCUCGAAGGUUAAUUGAUGGGGUUAGCAUUAGCGAAGCUCUUGAUCGAAGCCCGAGUAAACGGCGGCCGUAACUAUAACGGUCCUAAGGUAGCGAAAUUCCUUGUCGGUUAAAUACCGACCUGCAUGAAUGGCGUAACGAGAUGGGAGCUGUCUCAAAGAGGGAUCCAGUGAAAUUGUAGUGGAGGUGAAAAUUCCUCCUACCCGCGGCAAGACGGAAAGACCCCGUGGACCUUUACUACAGCUUGACACUGCUACUUGGAUAAGAAUGUGCAGGAUAGGUGGGAGGCUUUGAGUAUAUGACGCCAGUUGUAUAUGAGCCAUUGUUGAGAUACCACUCUUUCUUAUUUGGGUAGCUAACCAGCUUGAGUUAUCCUCAAGUGGGACAAUGUCUGGUGGGUAGUUUGACUGGGGCGGUCGCCUCCCAAAUAAUAACGGAGGCUUACAAAGGUUGGCUCAGAACGGUUGGAAAUCGUUCGUAGAGUAUAAAGGUAUAAGCCAGCUUAACUGCAAGACAUACAAGUCAAGCAGAGACGAAAGUCGGUCUUAGUGAUCCGGUGGUUCUGUGUGGAAGGGCCAUCGCUCAAAGGAUAAAAGGUACCCCGGGGAUAACAGGCUGAUCUCCCCCAAGAGCUCACAUCGACGGGGAGGUUUGGCACCUCGAUGUCGGCUCAUCGCAUCCUGGGGCUGGAGCAGGUCCCAAGGGUAUGGCUGUUCGCCAUUUAAAGCGGUACGCGAGCUGGGUUCAGAACGUCGUGAGACAGUUCGGUCCCUAUCUGCCGUGGGCGUAAGAAGAUUGAAGAGAUUUGACCCUAGUACGAGAGGACCGGGUUGAACAAACCACUGGUGUAGCUGUUGUUCUGCCAAGAGCAUCGCAGCGUAGCUAAGUUUGGAAAGGAUAAACGCUGAAAGCAUCUAAGCGUGAAGCCAACUCUAAGAUGAAUCUUCUCUAAGCUCUCUAGAAGACUACUAGUUUGAUAGGCUGGGUGUGUAAUGGAUGAAAGUCCUUUAGCUGACCAGUACUAAUAGAGCGUUUGGCUUAUCUUUAAUAAAGCAU